rnacentral:rRNA from 1 species
ACGUAGGUGGCAAGCGUUACUCGGAAUUACUAGGCGUAAAGCGCAGGUAGGUGGUUCGGUAAGUUCGUUGUGGAAGCUCCCGGCUCAACUGGGAGAGGGCAACGAAUACUGCCGGGCUUGAGGGUGGCAGGGGAAACUGGAAUGCCCGGUGUAGCGGUGAAAUGCGCAGAGAUGGCAAGGAACACCGACGGCGAAGGCAGGUAUCUGGGUCAUACCUGACGCUGAGCUGCGAAAGCGAGGGGAGCAAACAG